rnacentral:rRNA from 1 species
UGGGGAAUUUUGGGCAAUGGGCGAAAGCCUGACCCAGCAACGCCGCGUGAGGGAUGAAAUCCUUCGGGAUGUAAACCUCGUAAGUUAGGGAAGAAUAAACUCUUACUAAUACUAAGAGAUAUGACGGUACCUAACGUAAGCCCCGGCUAACUCCGUGCCAGCAGCCGCGGUAAUACGGGGGGGGCAAGCGUUGUUCGGAAUUACUGGGCGUAAAGGGCGCGUAGGCGGCCUUGUCAAGUCGAGUGUGAAAUUCCAGAGCUUAACUCUGGACGGUCGCUCGAUACUGGCAGGCUAGAGUGUGGAAGAGGGUGCUGGAAUUCCUGGUGUAGCGGUGAAAUGCGUAGAUAUCAGGAGGAACACCGGUGGCGAAGGCGGGCACCUGGGCCAACACUGACGCUGAGGCGCGAAAGCUAGGGGAGCAAACAGG